UCGUACGAUCCCGAACCGGAAGCGGAUGAGGAAUUAAGCGUCCAAGCCGGCGAUUAUUUAUUAGUUUGGGGAGAACCAGUCGGGGGAUAUUUAGACGCUGAAUUAUUGGAUGGUCGCCGCGGUUUGGUUCCGGCGCAUUUUGCACAACGAUUAAUCGGUGAUGACCUAUUAGAGUUCCAUCAGGCGGUUUUGAGCACGUUACGAGAAGAGGAAAUCAAUGCCGAAACCUUCGCAGCUGACGUUCAACGUCUGAACGAGUUGGCAGAAGUUUCAGAAGGUCAAGAAGAUGACGUCAAUGACACAGAACAAGUACCGGCACCGAAACAAUUAACCCUCGAACGGCAACUUAACAAGAGCGUGCUUAUUAGUUGGACUCAACCCGAUGUUGGACCCGGUAAUCAAAUUGAAAGUUAUCACGUUUACGUCGAUGGCGUUUUAAAGACUACCAUAAAAGCGAGCGAACGAACCAGGGCUUUAGUUGAAGGUGUUGAUAGU